AGCGAACGCUGGCGGCAGGCUUAACACAUGCAAGUCGAACGGCAAGGCAGUAAGUGCGUGGUCUUAUGGGUGGCCAGUCGGGGCCGUGCCAGGAGUACAACGUAACCUAGUUUUUCGUGUGGGAUCACGUAACGAGACCUACUCUCGGAACGUAUAUCACCUAGCGGUGUGGGCGCGGGAAAUUUUCGCCUUGUGGGAAUGAAUGCGCCGCUGUUCGACUAGCUAGUUGGGGGGUUAAUGGCCCACCAAGGCGACGGUCCGUAGCUGGUCUGAGAGGCUGGUCAGCCACACUGGAACUGAGACACGGUCCAGACUCCUGCGGGAGGCAGCAGUGGGGAAUAUUGGACAAUGGGCGCAAGCCUGAUCCAGCCAUACCGCGUGGGUGAAGAAGGCCUUCGGGUUGUAAAGCCCUUUUGUUGGGAAAGAAAAGCAGCAGGUUAAUACCCCGCUGUUCUGACGGUACCCAAAGAAUAAGCACCGGCUAACUUCGUG
rnacentral:rRNA from 1 species